GUCGGGAUAGCUCAGCUGGUAGAGCAGAGGACUGAAAAU
rnacentral:tRNA from 119 species